UCUAAAAACUUCCACAAAUUGGUACCAUCAACCUUCUUUUUAAAUUAUGAAUCUCUCCAAUCCCUCUCCAACCAAAUUCCGAUUUAGUAUACACAUUGAGUCAGUUCUAGAUAACACACAUACUCUUUAAAGUUGUUAUACGAUGAAGACGAAGAUAAUAUGGAUUAGUGAAUUUUUAAGAUUUCGAUGAGGUUUUAUUUUUUCGUCAGUUCGGGCAACACCAGAUAGUCUUGAAAAAUCUCCCUCCGCCGUAAAGCUCAAUGAAGAAGAGUGGAUGCACACGCUCCUUGAACGAUAAUGGUAAUUGCGUUGACAAGGAUUUGGCUUUCAAAUUACCAGGGUGCAAAAGCUGCAACUCUUGCCUUUAUGCAUGUAUAUAUAAUGGAGAUUUGUACAAUAAUUAUCUAUGCAAAAACUAAUUGUAUGAAGAUUUGUUUAGUAAGGAAAGCAGCAAAUGAGGAAGGUUCGAAGGACAUGAUAUGGUGUUUUUGUAAGGAGGUGAUUAAUUAGUUAGGCUUCUCUUAUGUGCAGAAAUUAGUUGUUGCAUCUACUUGCAAUGCUAGCCAUAUUUAUUUUGUUUUGAGAUACUAAUUAGCAAUGCAAAUUAGCAUAAAAUGUUUGGUGAAAUUUGUAAUACUUUUGUUUAUUGGCCAGAUGUAUGUUUCCAGUUUAUUA